UACGUAGGGGGCAAGCGUUGUCCGGAUUUAUUGGGCGUAAAGAGCGUGUAGGCGGCCAGGGAGGCCCGUUGUGAAAACUCGAGGCUCAACCUCGAGACGCCGAUGGAAACCCCCUGGCUAGAGUCCGGAAGAGGAGAAUGGAAUUCCUGGUGUAGCGGUGAAAUGCGCAGAUAUCGGGAAGAACACCCGUGGCGAAGGCGGCUCUCUGGGACGGUACUGACGCUGAGACGCGAAAGCGUGGGGAGCGAACAGG
rnacentral:rRNA from 1 species